UCUCCUUCUCUCUCUCUCUCUCUCUCUCCUGAAGUCCGUUCUGUUCUUCUGACCCGUCUGACCCCUCACCCUUUACAGACCCUGCAACCUCUCUCUCUUUUCUUUCUCCUCACCAAUUUUUCCUCUGAUUACUAAUCACAGUAAACAAUGCCACAAAAUGCCUUCUCCACAGAUUAAUCGAAUCAAUUGUUGCCCGUAAGCUCCGAUCACCGGGUUACAGCUUUUGUUUUUCUCCUGAUUUCAUGUUGUUCUGCGUUUGAUCUUCUUCUCCCUUCAGCUCGCGUCAAGCUUCUUCACUUCCUGAAUGUUGUGGGUGUUGUUUUGUUUGUGCCAUUGGAAAUUGUUUUCAUCUGUGCUUUUCGAGGAAAUUUACUCGGUGUGACAGGUGGGGGGCCUUUAUAAGGACUCUAUUUCGAUAUAGGUUUGCUUUGUUCAGAAUUAGUUUGUCUUCAAGGAUGAGCCGGCCGACGACACGUAGUAAGAACAAAAGGCAUAAACAAGAGGACAAUGCUGAUAACAGUUCUGAUUUAUUGAGGAAAAUUCACUCAUCUGGGGCAAUAACCAAUGAUGACAUCAAUCAGCUAUAUAUGAUAUGGAAGCCGACUUGUCAAGGAUGCCGGGUGAAUAAUAAGGAUAACCCAAAUUGUUUCUGUGGGUUGAUUCCACCUCCUACUGGUAGCAGGAAGGUUGGCUUAUGGCAAAAGAUUUCAGAAAUUGUGCAAGCAUUUGGUUCAGAUCCUUCCAAGGAUCAACGUACUUCUCCUGACUUUCCUGCUGGUCUUACAAAUCUUGGUGCAACAUGCUAUGCUAAUAGCAUCCUUCAGUGUCUGUACAUGAACAAGUGCUUCAGGGAAGGCAUAUUUUCGGUUGAGUCAGACGUUCUGAAACAAAAUCCGGUUCUAGAUCAGCUUGUACGUCUCUUUGCUCUCCUCCAUGCCAGUAAAUUGGCUUUUGUGGAUUCAUUCCCUUUCAUAAAAACACUGGAGUUAGAUAAUGGAGUCCAGCAGGAUAGUCACGAGUUCCUGACUUUGCUUCUUUCUCUGCUGGAACAUUGCUUAAGUCACUCAAAAGUUUCUAAAGCAAAAACUAUCGUUCAAGAUCUUUUCCGUGGAAGCGUGUCUCAUGUAACUACGUGCUCACAGUGCGGAAAAGAUUCAGAAGCCUCUUCCAAAAUGGAGGACUUCUAUGAGUUGGAGUUGAAUGUUCUGGGCUUGAAAAGCUUAGAUGAAAGUUUAAAUGAUUAUCUUAGUGUGGAAGAGCUUCAUGGUGAUAAUCAAUACUUUUGUGAGUCAUGUAGAUCCAGAGUUAAUGCUACACGCAAUAUCAAGCUACGUACGUUGCCCCCUGUUCUAAAUUUUCAGCUUAAGCGAUGUAUUUUUCUUCCAAAGACUACAACGAAGAAGAAAAUCACAUCUGCAUUUUCUUUUCCUGGAGUGUUGGAUAUGCGGGACAGGCUAGCUGAAUCUUCUCAGUCUGAAUCAAUAUAUGAUUUGUCAGCAGUUCUGAUUCAUAAAGGUACCGCUGUCAACAGUGGCCAUUACGUAGCUCACAUCAAGGAUGAAAACACAGGGCAGUGGUGGGAAUUUGAUGACGAAAAUGUCUCAAAAUUAGGUCAUCAUCCGUUUGCAGAAAAAUCAUCAAAUGCUAAUUCUAAAUCUGUUAGAGCCGAGUUAGCUUCCAAGGAAGAAGUAAAUGUUACUGUUGAAGGGAAUCCAACGAAUGGGGUUCAGCAAUCAUCAGAGACCGGUACCUGUUGUUCCACUGACAUCUUUUCAUCUAAUGAUGCCUAUAUGUUGAUGUAUAAUUUAAGAGGCACUGGGAAGACCACAAAAAAAGUUACUAGCUCUAAUGCUGAUAGUAAAGAAGUAGAAGGCAACAUGGUUCCUUUCCAGGAUGGCUUGUCUCUUCCAUCACAUCUGUGUGAUGAGAUAAGUAGUUUAAAUGAAUCCUUUGUUAUAGCUUGCCAAGAAUAUGAAUCAAAGAAGAAAGUUGAACUGGGCUUUAUCAAUGAUCGAAGACAGGAGGUCCGAUCAAUUCUUUCUGAAGCCCCCGUUCACUCACUUGAGGAACCCUUUUGUUGGAUUUCCAUAGACUGGCUUCGCCAGUGGGCUGAUAAGGUCUCCCCACCCAUUCUUGAUAAUUCGCCUAUACAGUGUUCGCAUGGAAAAGUUCCGAUAUCAAAGGUUACCUGCAUAAAGAGAUUGUCCAUCAAGGCUUGGGACAAGCUGUUCUCCAAGUAUGGUGGGGGCCCCAAACUGACGAAUGAAGAUAUCUGUAUGGAUUGCCUUAUUGCUGGUGCUCAAAAUGUAGUUUGCGCUGACGGCUACAGGGACCGAAGAAUAUCAAUGAAAGAAAUUGCGUUGAGUGCACUUUCGGGCAGUUAUCCAAAUGGAACAUAUAUCGUUUCUAGGACAUGGUUGCAACAGUGGGUUAAACGGAAAAUUCUUGAUGCUCCUUCUGAAGCCGAUGCAGAUCCGACAGCCUCAAUCAGGUGUCCUCAUGGACAACUUUUGCCCGAGCAAGCUACUGGAGCUAAGCGAGUCCUGGUUCCAGAAGAUCUCUGGUGUUUCUUACAUGAAGAUGCUAUUACUCUAAAACCUGAUGAUCCUAUAGGGGUUCCAACUUUUCCCUCAGAUGCACGACAGUGUUCUCUGUGCAGUGAGGAGUUAUCUGAAGUGGCAGUCAUGGAAGAUUCAAUAAGAGGAGUGAAGCUUAAACAGCGACAAAAUCAUGAAAGGUUAGCCGUUGGAAAAUUCAUUCCGCUUUCUCUGCACUGCAAGUAUUAUUUGGUGCCUACCUCAUGGCUUUCAAAGUGGAGAAACUACAUCAAUGCAAGUGGAAAGAGUGCUUCAUUUGUAGAGAAGCCUGAAGAUUUGGAUGGCGUGAUCAAUUUUCUGAGGUGUGAAAAGCAUUCACGCCUCCUUAAAAGGCCUCCUGACCUGAUCUGCAAACGUGGUACGGUGCAGCAGAAGUCCACUGCAGAUGUUUUAACAAUCAUUUCAGAGAACGACUGGAAAUUCUUCUGUGAAGAGUGGAAAGGUAGCGAGGCACGCGGCAUCUCUGCCGUGAUUGAGUCAAGUAGUUGUGUAGGGAAUGAUAUGAAUGGAUCCUCCAAAGAGAAGUCAAUGGCUGAAGAGAAUCUCAGUUCCAAUGAUGAAGUUAGUAAUGGGGACUUCAAACAACUAAUACUUAAGACUGAUCCUGAGAUAUGUGAAGAAUGUAUAGGAGAACAAGAAAGCUGCGAGCUAAUGCAGAAACUAAAUUAUAUUGGUGAAGAUAUUUGUGUAUAUUUCUCCCGGGGGAAGGAAGCGCCAAAAUCAAUUUUGGAAGCUCCCGAAUCCACCUUUGAUCCAGAUCGCCGAAUCUCAAAGCGUGCAAGAAAGACAAAUUCCGGGAAUUUUGUUAAUCUGAAAGUAUCUGGUUCAACUUCAGUAUACCAGCUAAAAAUGAUGAUAUGGGAAUGUUUUGGGGUUGUGAAGGAAAACCAGAUACUUCGCAAGGGUAAUAGGAUUAUCGAUGGAGAAACGGAUACUUUGGCAGACAAGAAUAUAUUUCCUGGGGAUAAACUAUGGGUAACGGAUUCGGAGAUUCAUGAGCAUCGAGAUAUUGCUGAUGAGCUUUCUGAUCCCAAAAUGAACAUGCAACAUACCGAGGAAGGGUUUCGUGGAACGCUUUUGGCUGCAAAUGUUUCAUCUGAAGUUGUUUAAGAAGCACUGAAACUUGAGGGCGCCUGCUGCCUGUAUUUACAAAAUUUUGUAGAUGUUCAUAAUCAAGGAAAAACUAUUGGAUUAUCCUCAGCAUUUUGAUAACACUUUUGUCAGGGAAGGAAGCCAUGAAAUGGACUGUGGGAUACACUGCUUUCGGAUUCACUGGACGAUGCUACCGACGAUCGAACGGAAAAUUACGCUACAGGAUUUGGUUGAGCCCCAACCACAGAACUAGUCUUUAGUUUUUACCUUCACGUACAUUGGGUGGCUGUAUAUCAUGUUCAAAAUAUCAAGAACAUUUGAAUUUGCUGAUUUCUCCUUUACAUGAUGUAUAGAAUGUUUACGGUAAUGAUGCACAUUACAGUGUCCAUCUUCUGCU